rnacentral:rRNA from 1 species
UACGAAGGGGGCUAGCGUUGCUCGGAAUCACUGGGCGUAAAGCGCACGUAGGCGGAUUGUUAAGUCAGGGGUGAAAUCCUGGAGCUCAACUCCAGAACUGCCUUUGAUACUGAAGAUCUUGAGUUCGGGAGAGGUGAGUGGAACUGCGAGUGUAGAGGUGAAAUUCGUAGAUAUUCGCAAGAACACCAGUGGCGAAGGCGGCUCACUGGCCCCGAUACUGACGCUGAGGCACGAAAGCGUGGGGAGCAAACAGG